rnacentral:rRNA from 1 species
GUUAGUGGCGGACGGGUGAGUAACGCGUGAGCAACCUGCCUUCAGAGGGGGAUAACGUUUGGAAACAGACGCUAAUACCGCAUAACAUAGCGAUAUCGCAUGGUAUUGCUAUCAAAGGAGCAAUCCGCUGAGAGAUGGGCUCGCGUCCGAUUAGAUAGUUGGUGAGGUAACAGCUCACCAAGGUCAACGAUCGGGUAGCCGGACUGAGAGGUUGAACGGCCACAUUGGGACUGAGAUACGGCCCAGACUCCUACGGGAGGCAGCAGUGGGGAAUAUUGCACAAUGGGCGAAAGCCUGAUGCAGCAACGCCACGCGAGGGAAGACGGUUUUCGGAUUGUAAACCUCUGUCUUCGGUGACGAAAAAUGACGGUAGCCGAGGAGGAAGCCACGGCUAACUACGUGCCAGCAGCUGC